CCCUCCCCGGCCCUGGCCCCAGCCCUCCACAACCCCAUCCGCUGGCUCCCCCACCCCGCGGCCUGCCCUUCCCCCCGCAGCCCCCCUCUCCUCCUCCUCCGGGGCCUGCUCCCGCCCCCGCCGGCUCCCACCGCCCGCCCCGCUCGCCCCCGCCCCCCGACCCGCACAGACCCCCGCCUUUGUUGUGGUGCGAAGUUGGGCUGUGGGUCCCCGUCUCUUUCACUUCUUGGGUUACAGUGAAGGCGUGUGACGUCCACUCCACAUGACGGGGGCGGGGGGCGGGGGGCGGGCGCCGGGGGGCGGGGGCGGCGGGCCAGGCCCUCCCCGCGCUUCUCCGCCCCUUCCCGCCCCGCCCACAGCCCUCCUCCUGGCAGCCCAGCAACAAGCGGCCACCGCCCCCACCCCGGGGCGGGCAGACAGGCACAGCCACCCCGUGGUGCUCCCGGAAGACACCGCGUCUCCAACGUUUACGCAGAGAUGCUGCUCGGCUCAGGUCGGGUCCGUACGCUUCCCGAGGUGCGUACUACGCGAGCCACACAUAUCACUCCCGAUAUUCCUGGGAAAGUCGGUGCCACAGUCAGUCAGCUGCAAGCGUGGGGUUGCCGGUGACGCGCUCUGCCCGUGAAGACGCCCAUUGUGCGGGACAGGCGCGGCCAGGGCGCAGCGUCCAGGAGGUGGGUAGGCAGCCGAACUUGCACUGGCCACGAGCGCUUCACCUUCUAGAAUCUGCCAGGGACCAAGCAUCAACUCCCAGGGAGAAAAUAAAAUGUGAAGUUGGAAGACACACGCUGCCCUUCACUUUUCUGAGGAGUUCACAUCGGUUUCCGCAUUCCGCGUUCUCAGUUCGCUUUGCCCCGGCUAGUGGGCUCCAUCGCCUGGACCGCAAACGCACCAGGGCGUGCCCGCCGGGGGCGAGGCCAAAGAAACCGCACGUUUCGAGUCCCCAGUUGCUGAGAAACAAUCACAGCGCUCCUCUUUUCUUCCCCUGCCGUUGCAGGUUCCGACCUGAAUCCGAAAGUGCUUCUAAAUCCCAUGCUCCACAGGAGGUUCGGAGGGGGAGGCGCUCGGGGGGGACUGCUGCGUGCCCAUGUAGCCGAACCGACUCGAAUAAAAGCGUGUCUACGUCUACAUCACACAUCUGUGCAAAUGCAGAAGCCUGCGGAUGCUCGGGGCUGGCCAGACUUCAAUGUGCAGACACAUGGGCUCAUGCACGCGCGCGCGCUCACACACACUCACACCCCAAAUUACCUCCGGGAUGGAGAAAGCCGCAGCGGAUUGGCCAGCAGAACCGUCACUCACGCCCAGGGGGCAGGGACACUUCGCAAAGCUGUUUCCUUUUUUUUUUUUUUUUUUUUUUUUUUUCUUCUCCUCUCCUCCCUACCGUUUCAUUUAAUGGUAAAACAACAGCAGAGCUCUGAAAGUUAGCCAUCUGCGCGGAGUUUGCCUUCUUUAAGGAAGGAGGCGUCAGACGAUAUCCAUUUAAAUGUAUUUUGUACUUCCACAAAGGAUGGAAAGGGAAAUUAACGAUGGGAGUGGAGGCGGAAAGGGAGCUCCGAAUAAGAAGGAGGGGUCAUCCCGCGGGGGGAGGGGGGGCCGGGGGCGGACGCAAGGGAAAGAGUUCUUCUCUACACAGAAGAGGGACUUUGACCUUCCAUUGAUCUCGAAAUUAAAAAAUGUUUUUCACAGGUCAGAUUGUAACCAAAACUCGUUCAUAAUUUAUGAACUCGUCGUUUUGAUUUUAUUAUUUAAGCAUGCGCCAGCAGUCGUGUUUCCUUAAGAAAGAACUGACCUAUUUUUGGCUGGAGAUAAACGAUCAUGUUAACAGAUGUUAAUCUUGUAAUCUGUUUUUCCUGUAAGCACUUUACCUACCCGGGUUUCAGACAUCUUUUCCAAAAAGACCUGACGUCACAAUUGACUCCCUGAAAAAUCACACUCCCCCUCCAGUUUCUUCCCCUGCAAUGAUUUCAAAGACGUUAAAUCUUUUCCACUUUAUAAAUGCUGAUCUGUUCUGCCUCUACUCCCACAGGCUUUUAUUUGCAUUUUAAAUUCCACAGGUUACACUAGUCGCCUUUUCAAAAAAUAUAAACCAACAAUGAAGCAGCAAAUGGCUUUUUGUGCAUCUGGAUUAAAUAAAACACAGAAUGAAUAUAUUUAAAAAGAAGGC
rnacentral:lncRNA from 13 species